CGCAGAGUGGUUUAGUGGUUAGCACAUUCGCUUCACACCGCCAGGGUUUGGGGGUUCAAAUCCCCAGAGUGUGC